GGGGGCGUAGCUCAACUGGUAGAGCAUAUCCCUUGCACGGAUAAGGUAGCAGGUUCGAUCCCUGUCGCCUCCACCA
rnacentral:tRNA from 1 species